UCCAACCAGGACCAGGGCA
rnacentral:piRNA from 1 species